rnacentral:misc_RNA from 1 species
AAAAAAAUGUCUAUAAAACACAUAUCAUGCCCUUUUGUAGAUAAUAAAAGCUAGUAAAAUAUAGAAUAAUAUAAUUUCACACCUGUAAAAUUAAUAAGGAAUAUAUAAAAGUUUAUGAUUUGACCUUAGAUGUAUCUUUGGGUGGAGGGGUGAAGAUCAAUCUCUUGGGUCCAAGCAGAUCGAUCUUGGAUAUGCAAAUGCCAGUAGGUCUGAGCCACCCCAUCUGGGUCCAUUAAUUCCUCUCCGGCCCAUACGCCGGUUUGUU